rnacentral:lncRNA from 12 species
UGGGAGCUUUUUCUGUAUCCUUGCUUAAUAAACUUCUAUUGCUUUACUCACUCUCCUUUGUCCGUGAGAUUCAUUCUUCGAUUCCAUAAGGCAAAAAUCGAGUUCUCCCACUUCAUAAUUUCAAAAUGUACCUCAGCAACAAUGAUCAGGGAACUUUGAAAAAACAAGGUUUUUUAUUCAUAGGUCCUGGAGGGUAAUAAGACACAAACAGGGCCACAGAACAAGGUUACAGGGGAGGGAGGGAGAAUCAAACAUGGACCUGGGGUUCUGCCUUUACUUGAGGAUGUGUUGCCUAGAAAUGCAAUUUAAGGAGGCAGUACAUGUGUUCCUGCUUUGGAAAAGUGCAGGAUUAAUAGAAUGGAUUCAGCAAUUUAGCAAGGCGCUCCUUUACUUGGGGUAGAAGAUGCUGCUUCCUGGGUUGGUUUCCUCAGAACACACCUGAAUUUCCUGCAUAAACUGGCAAAAGACCUCCCUGCCAAGGGCCACUCAAUGGGGGUUUCCCCAAGAUCAUCAUAUCAUCAUUAUGGGCAUAAACCAGUGGGAUUGUCCCUGAUGGACUUUUUUUAUGCUACUAGUACUUUAUUGAAUUGUAAUUGAUAUAUAGCAAAAGACACA